rnacentral:ncRNA from 1 species
GUAUGGAAACCUGCUAAGUGGUAACUUCCAAAUUCAGAGAAACCCUGGAAUUAAAAAAGGGCAAUCCUGAGCCAAAUCCGUGUUUUGAGAAGGGAUGCUCGAACUAGAAUACAAAGGAAAAGGAUAGGUGCAGAGACUCAAUGGAAGCUGUUCUAACGAAUCGAGUUAAUUACGUUGUGUUGUUAGUGGAAUUCCUUCUAAUUCUAAAUUAGAGAAAGAGGG